ACCAGGUCUUGACAUCCCGAUGCUAUUCUAGAGAUAGAAGUUACUUCGGUACAUCGGUGACAGGUGGUGCAUGGUUGUCGUCAGCUCGUGUCGUGAGAUGUUGGGUUAAGUCCCGCAACGAGCGCAACCCCUAUUGUUAGUUGCCAUCAUUCAGUUGGGCACUCUAGCGAGACUGCCGGUAAUAAACCGGAGGAAGGUGGGGAUGACGUCAAAUCAUCAUGCCCCUUAUGACCUGGGCUACACACGUGCUACAAUGGUUGGUACAACGAGUUGCGAGUCGGUGACGGCGAGCUAAUCUCUUAAAGCCAAUCUCAGUUCGGAUUGUAGGCUGCAACUCGCCUACAUGAAGUCGGAAUCGCUAGUAAUCGCGGAUCAGCACGCCGCGGUGAAUACGUUCCCGGGCCUU
rnacentral:rRNA from 1 species